rnacentral:lncRNA from 1 species
UUUUUUUUUUUGUUUGUUUGUUUGUUUUUUAAAUAGGUCUUCCAAGUUAAGGUAAUUUUUUGACAUUGCCGAAAUGGUUGAUCCUAGCUACAAAUGGGAAUUUGGAGUCACUCUGAAAUAUAUCCUGGAAUAAUUGUGUUUGACUGGAACCAAAUCUUAUGAAGUCUCCAAGGUAAGAUGAUUUUAAUACAUACCUAGAGAUGAUACCUUUAUGAAGCAUGAAGAAUUUAGCAAAACUGAGUAUCUUAGAGUUGAUGAGCCUUUAUAAAAGCCUUCUUUUACAUUGAAUUUUUUGGAAUUUAGGGAGUUUUAAAAAUUUUAGCUCUUAUCUUUGAAGUUAUUUCAGUUUGUAUAGCAAUGUUUUAGCUAUUCAGCAGGGUAAAAGGUGAGAUUUUUAAGAUAAAACCAGUUUUGUUUUACAUUUGUACAAAAAUGUUGAAUGUAGAAGAAAUUUCAGUAUCACAGUAGACAUAGUACUGUGAAAUCCUUUUACUGGGGGUCUGGAUUAUUACGAUUAUUAUCAUUUUUUGUCUUUUUAGGGCUGCACCUGUGGCAUAUGGAAGUUCCCAGUCUAGAGGCUGAACUGGAGCUGUAGCUGCUGGCCUAUACCGCAGCCAUAGCAAUGCCUGAUCCUUAAUCCACUGAGUGGGGCCAGGGAUCGAACCUGCAUCCUCAUAGAUACCAGUCGGGUCCAUUUGUUUCUGCUGAGCCAUGACGGGAACUCCGAGUCUGGAUUAUUGAAUGAAAUAAAGAAUUAUUGCUGAAUAUCUGCCUACUUCUCCAUAGACAUAUUUCCAAGGAAUGAUAGCUAUUGUUGAGUAAAUACUUGCUGUAGGUCCUGGGAACUUGUAGCUAUAUUUGCCCCUGACCCUGGAAUAGAAUUGUCUGUAAAGAAGAAGUCAGAUCAGGAAUUACCCCUGAGAUCUGGAACAGUGACCCUUUAGACUUGUGAUUUGGGAUUUGUUGUUGGGAUCCAGCCAGGGAAAGAAACGAUUCUGAUAAUGUGGAACAGAGGGAAUUGAAUUCAGGGCACUGGUUUCCCACAUGAUGCACGAGUCAGAGAUGGUCAGAGAGUCAGAGAAGAUACAGAGGCAGCCCAGAGAUCAGCAACAGCAGGAAGCUUCUGCCAUCCUGAAACUGGUGGGAUAAAGGAAGGCAGUAUUCCUUGCCAGUCUCAGUGGGAGCUGAAACCUUAGUGGGCUCUUCUGGUGGGAAUUGAUGCCAUGGAGGAGAAAUGUCCACUCCAUAGUCCCUGCCAGGACAGAGGAGGUGGGGAGAAAUUCGCUUCCAGCCUCCAGGAACCAGCCAGUGUCUCCCAUUGGUUAAAUCCACCCUCCAGGAUCCAGCUGGUGUCUCCUAUUGGUUAAAUCUACCCUCUGGGAUCCUAAUGGUAUCUCCUGUUGGUUAAACUCAGGUGAUUCAGGAGCCUGGGAAACGCAGGGUGUAGGAAUCAACCAGGACAAGGGGAAAGAAUGGAUCUGGGAUAGGGUUUAUAUUUGAAGUCUCUUUCCAUGAGAUUUUAAGGAGCGUGGCAUGGGUGUUUUCAUACCUCAGAGGAUGGUCUUUUUCUUGAGACUGUUUCUCACAGCCCCACAAAGUAAAUCAUGCAUAUGUCCUGGAACAUUCUAGUUGAAGCUGGACAGACAGGAGAGUAGACACUAUGUGCAUUGUCCAGAGUAUGAUGUGGGCGCCAGGUCCCCAAGGCUGCGGUUUUCCUUAAGAAUGGAGUCAGGGUUUUGGUUGCGGUACAGUGGGGCUGCGAGUUGUAGGUUGUUAGACCCUUCCCUCCACAAUUUCCUCAGAAGCUUUGCCUCUAGCAUUACCCAAACAGGAACCCAACCCCAUGGGCCUUGGCUUUAUUGUCUGCCCAUAAGUAUUUAUACAUCUUGUAUAUAUGAAAAGGGGGUUCCUUUGAUCCACUGCUGUGGACCUAUUAUGAUAGACAUCAUGAGACAUGUGGCAGGCAGAACCUAGUAUUGUUGGAAUUUCAAAUGCUAAGACCUUUACUUGAGCAAACCCACAUAUUUUUUUAUUUGAAUGCAGCUCUAAGUGUGUAGCUUUUCAAAUUUCAUGGUAUCAAAUAGUGUAUAACCCUCAUGUUUUAUCAGGGUGAUCCAAGUUAUACCCUAGGGAUUCACAGACUUCUCAGCAAGGCUUAUAGUUAAGCUGGAGAACUUUUAAUUAUAGAAGAUUUGUAUUGAAAAUUGAGUUAAUGCACAGUGCAGAUAAAGUUUGAUUGGUCUUCAGUUUGCUUGGGGGGAAAAGAAGUCCAUCAUCUAGCAUCUUCCUGCUUUCCCCACCUUCUCAGGGUUGUGUUUGCUGAAGAGCCUUGUGUCAUGUCACGCAGCCCUCACUGACUUUUGCCCUGCUUUCUCUGCAGGAUGAGAGUCUGGGCUAGGUCAGUUUUGCUGUCACACUGGCUCUUUCUGGCCUACGUGUUAAUGGUGUGCUGUAAGCUGAUGUCUGCCUCCAGCCAGCACCUCCGGGGACACACAGGUAAGCCCUUUAAGCUCGUUAUUUGCCUCUGAGAUCAAUUAAUAAAACGCUUUCAAAUGCCAGAGUCCAUAUUUUAGACAAAGGUAACUGACAAGAGCUUUUGGUGGUGUGUAAAUAACCAGAGGAAGCAUGAAAUAUAGCAGAAUAAAGCAGUUUAACAAUUUGAUGCUUAAAGAGUAUUGCUCCAGAUGUCUUUUUAGGAUGUUCUCCAGGUUUUCCUUUUUUUCUUUUCCUUCCCUAAGUACACUUGCAUUUUUUUUUGGUAAUGAUUUUCCUCAAAGAGUCCUGGAAAACCAGCAGCACUCUGUAAUUAUAUACUCCAGCCUCCUUUGAGGAAAAACAUCUUUAUUGAUAAACUUAAAUGAACACUUCUAGAGCUAUAGUGAAGGGAACUUUCAGACAGUUUUAUAUCCUUUUAUGAAAAGGUGGUGAAUGGUUGAAAAAGAAGAAAGAAAAGGGGGAAAAAGCUGUGGUAAUCUUUGUACAGAAACUAAAAUGCAAUGUGUCUGAAAUUUUAGAGAAUCUUUCCAAUAAUUUCUAAUGAGACCCAUGGCUGUACUUUGCUUAUUUCUAAAGAAAGAUUAAAAUACUCAGUUAAGUGUGUGUAUGUGUUUCUUUUUUCCUUUCCUGGUUACAUCUAUGUUGAAAGUGACAUAGACUUGGAAACUCCCCAGUGAAUUGUGUUUUCCAGAAUAAUUCAUAUGUGUCAGCAGACUCAUUGCCAAACAAUUAAUUUACUGUCUCUGCUUCAGUAAUUGGAGGUGUGGCAGUGCCAGGCAUGCUCUGACUUUUUAGUGAAACAGCGAUGUUUGAACCCUAGACUAUGUGUGAGUCAGAAUUAUAAGGUCUCUUGCCAAGAAAGUAUUGUAGAGAAGUUUGGUCAGUAUCCUGACCCUUAGGUACACAGCAGGUCAAGCUUUCCACUUAGUUAUUCUGCUAAUUUAAGAUUAAGACACAAUUUUAGGCUUAAGUUUUUAAACUCUCUCAUGCCUCAAUUUUCCUUAAGUGACAGUUUCAAGAAGACAGAAAUAAUGAUUGAAAAUGUAAUGGAUCAGCAUAAAAUUAGUACCAUUUGGCUGUUGUGAAGAUGCCCAGGGCUAGUUGGUUAUUAUGCUGUGUGUCUUUUAAUGAGGUUGGUCUCAAGGAUUGAGCAUUUGAAGUCAUUAGUCUUAUCUGUUUAAUAUACAUCUCUUUUCUUGGGUGCAGGUAGAGAGUCAGCUGGUAAAAAUACAAAGCAUUUCAGUGGGGCUGGUUAUCCCCAGCACACAUCCAGAUUUCCAGGAACUAGAUUUGAGGGAUUAUGACAAAAAGUGGUUAAAACUUGAAGGAAAUGGGGGACAUGACUGAACCUUCCAUUUUUAAUCUUCCUGACGAACUUCAUUUUGUACCAUAACCCUUUAAAUUUGUAAAAGGUGGAACUGUAGAAGUAAAUCUAAAUUAUUAUUUGCAUUGUGUACACAAGAGAUGCAAUAUCUUAUGUACAAGCAAAUACUCAGCUGCGGCAGGGGAGGUGAGAAGUCGGAUGGAAGCCUUGAGUGGGUAGUAUGUAAGCUGGAUAUUCUCCUCUACUGUAGUCUUUUUGGAACCACCAUGAGCUUGCGGGUUUGAUCCCUGGCCUCACUCAGUGGGUUAAGGAUCCGGUGUUACCGUGAGCUGUAGUGUAUGUAGUUCGCAAAUUCGGCUCGGAUCCCACCUUGCUGUGGCUAUGGUGUAGGCCAGCGGCUACAGCUCCAAUUAGACCUCUAGCCUGGAAACCUCCAUAUGCUGUGGGUGUGGCCUGAAAAGACAAAAGACAAAAAAAAANUGCUGUGUACACUUGUUCUUUUGUGCUGUAGUGUAGUACCAAGGUGGCAAGUAUAUAUUUGAUAUCAGGAAUGACCUUGUAGGCAAAGCAGAUGGCCAAAUAGGGGAAAUUUGAGAAUUAAAAGGAACAUUUCUUGUCCAUCAAUUUUAUCAUCUAGUAGAGAUGCGUGAAAAUUUGAAUAUUUAUUAUUUUGAUUUAUUUAAGGCUUUUCUACUUUAAAGUAUGUUUUGUAAAUGCAGAAAACAUUUUUUCCUUUUUUAAAAUGAAGUACAGUUGAUGUACAAUUAAAAACAUUUUUCUGGAAAAAAAAAAGAAAAAAAAAAAAAGAAAAGGCUCUACUACAUUCAACCUGUGGUCUCCAAGGUUGUUUUGGAGUCAUCUCCAUCCCCGCCAGCAGGAAGGAAAAUGGGCUAGAGGGUACACCUGGGAGGCGUUGAUGAACCGGGCUAGAUGCUGCCAUUGGCUGGAGCUGAGUCCCAUGGCCACGCCUGGAUGCUGCCAUUGGCUGGAGCUGAGUCCCAUGGCCAUGCCUUACCGCAGGGGCUUCUAGGAAACAUACCAUAGCUAUGGGAUGGGGUCCAAGAGGAGAUCGUGAGUUUUGGUGAGUGUCCUGCAGCGUCUGACGCAAUGCAGUAAAGUUUUAAUAGUGCAAAGUGCCCUCCAAAACUUCUGAACUUACUUCUACUUCCACCGACAAUAAUGUUUCCCCAGUCUGUCAUCAACUCUGGGUGCUGUCAGGUUUUACUGUUUUGUGGCUAUGGUAAUGAAAACUGCCUUCUAAUUGUUUUGACUUGCAUUUCUUUUUGACUAAAGACUCUUCUAAUGUGCUGGGGGGGGAACUGUUUGCAUUUGUUUUUCUCUGAACUAUCUUAUCCUUUAUCUAUUUUUCUCUUGGCCUCUCUUGAUUUUUUACUUGUCAAUGUUCAAAUGUUGUUUGUAAAUUGAGGAUACCUGAGUACUUUGUGUAUCAGUUUCGUGUUUCUUCCUGCUUUUUCUUUGCCCACUACUCUUGUUCUAGGGAGGCUGUCUAGUCCAGCAAGGGGUGUGUGCGGUGUUGUGUGUGUGUUCAACGGGGAAGGGACAAGGCAGGUGUUGCAAAUUUUCUAUGGGCCUUGCGGUAGCCCCGUGGCUUUUAUUUCCAGAAUAACACUCAGCUGGUGACAAAGUCAAGCAUCAGACUUGAGAAACUCUGGUCAGGUUUUUGGGUGGAUCCAAAACAGCCUGAGAGCAGGAGCAAGCUGCAAAGAGUUAACUGCAGAAGCCUGUGUGCACUGUCCAGAAGGACUCCUGACACCGUCCCAAGAGACUUGUGGUUCGUGCUGGCCAAUUAAAGGAACCACGGCCCUAGGAAACCCUAGUUGGAAGCUUAUUAAUGCUUUUAAUGGCUUAGAUUAGCAGAGUGGCUUACUGAUGGUUGUGUAUAAACAAGGAAAUAUUCUUACGAUCCCAUCUUCACUCAUCCCUUGAUGAUAGAGACAGAGGAGAAGGUAGGACCCAACUGCUAAUUAGGGGAGAAUAGAUGCGGUGCUAGGUGUGGUUUGAAGUUUCAUUUUGCCUUCCACGUUAAAAAACACAAAAUAAAAAUGCACCUCAGUUUCACAGGUUUGGUGGUGGGAAUCUUUCUUUAAGGCAAAUGGCAUUGGUAAUGUUCCACAAGAGUCUAGCUAGCGGUAGUAUUUUUAAGGAAUUAGAAAACACAAAGGGCUACCUUUGUUGUUUUAAAAAUUCUACCUGACAGUGAUUGAGGAGACCACAUGGGCCUCUGUAGCCCCAAACCCCAGGUGCAGGGGCCAAUUGGUAGGUUAGUUUCUUUUCAAAGGAA